UCCCACUUCUUGGUCCUGGCAUUCCCAUGUACUGGGGCAUAUAAAGUUUGCAAGACCGAUGGGCCUCUCUUCCUAAUGAUGGCCGACUAGGCCAUCUUCUGCUACAUCUGCAGCUAGAGACAUGAGCUCUGGGGGUACUGGUUAGUUCAUAUUGUUGUUCCACCUAUAGGGUUGCAGACCCCUUCAGCUCCUUGGGUACUUUCUCUAGCUCCUCCAUUGGGGGCCCUAUGUUCCGUCCUGUAGAUGACUGAGCAUUUUUUUUAAAAUAGAAACAUGAUGAGGCUAAUUAUACAGUAAAACAUGCCAGUAACUCUGUUUACUGAGCAUCAUUGGCACAGUCAGCAUAUAUUUAAUAAAGAGAAAUGGCUGCAUAGUAUUCCAGUAUCAUGACCUGCUCUGGUUUACUGUUUGUGUCAAGAAUUUUAGUUUUUAUUUUAUGAGAAUUUCAUAUGCAUAUAUGUGCACACAUACAUAUCUAUUUGUAUGCACACACAUACACAUAUCUCAAAACAAAACAUAUAUAAUGUGUUUGGUCAAGCCCACCCUCAUUUCCAGAUAUGCCCAUGAAACCCUACUCCCUUCAUUUUGCUUUAAAGCCCGUUGAGUUCACUUAGUGCCGCCAGUGUGUGCCAGGGCAUAGGACCAUCUCUUAGAGAGAGCAUGGUGGCCUCUCUCUCCCAGCAGCCAUUGUUGCCAGCUCUUCAGCUGGGGUUAGGGCUUCGGGCUCUCCUCCCUUCCUUCCAUGCUGCGGUUUUGUCUGGCCUGAUCUUGUGCACGUUGCCAUAACUGGAGUGAGUUAACAUCUGCCUCUGCCCUGUUGGGUCUUUGAACUGUUGUGCUGUGGCCAUCCAUCACUUCUGGCUCUUGCGUACAGUCUCCCUGCCCCUGUUCAGUUAGGAUUCCUGAGCUUUGGGAGGAGGGAGUAUGGUGCAGAUACAUCCGGGGCUGGGCCCUAUGCUGUCUCUUACUCUCCGCAUGUUGGCCAGUCUCUGUUAAUGCCCAUCUACUGCAAAAGAGGGGACGGUCCUCCGAUAAAUACUGAGACGUUCAUUAAUCUAUGAGUGUAAGGAUAAAUCAGUGGCAGUCAGUUUAAUAUUAUAUCCAGUUACCACAGUGUUUAGCGCCCCCCCCCCCCCCCGACAGGAUUUCUCUCUAUAGCCCUGGCUGUCCUGGAACUUGCUUUGUAGACCAGGCUGGCCUUGAACUCAGAAAUCCGCCUGUCUCUGCCUCCUAAGUGCUGGGAUUAAAGGCGUGCGCCAUGACUGCCCGGCACCACCACAGUGGUUUUCAACCUUCAUAAAAACGACAACCCCUUAAUAUAGUUCCUUAUGUUGUGGUGACCCCAACCAUAAAACUGUUUUCGUUGCAACUUUAUAACUGAAAGUUUGCUAUUGUUAAGAAUCAUAAUAUAAAUAUCUGAUUUGCAGAUGUUCUUAGAUGACCCCCAAAUGGGUUACAAUCCAGGAAUUGAGAACUGCUGAUUCAGCAGAAUAACAAUAGUAAGUUGUUCCCUGGGCCUACUGCCUCUCUACAUUCUUAGCCCUAUGAUAAUGGUAGCAGGCAUGGCUCUAGCCUUGCAGAGCAGGCUUGAAAUCCAAGCAGAAAGUGGGUGGUUACUCCAGUAACAUUUGCGCCUCUGAUGUACCAGUGUGCAUACUUUGCCGGUCCAAUGGUUGUGACAUCACAAAGUAUUGACAGCCAAGUGAGACUGAUGACUACUCUACCCCCAACCCCGUCCCCUGAGCACACACAGCACCUGCAGCCCUAGGAAAUCUAGCCAGUGGGGUGAAUCCUCCAGGUCAAUGCCAGCUUGAUUUCCCCGUGUUCUCUGACUGAAGUAUGUGGUGUCUUCAGUAACAAGUUCUGGUGGGCAACUAAGAGCAAUGGCUAUCUAUCGACCAUGAUGUUUGUGGCGGGAGGUGGGGUGUGAGGUGUCUGUGGGACCUCACUGGCUUCCAACUUUAAAAGAGAUAACUCAUUACCGACCCUGGGAUUUCUACUUGGUGGCCUCUUAUGGUGUCUAGAAUUGUCCCAUUGUGGGUAAGUUGAUUUAAACAUCUUUACUGAUGUGUAUGUGUAUUAUGUAUGAUGUAUGUAUGAUGUAUUAUGUAUGAUGUAUGAAGCACCGUGCCCAGGGUUCAUCUGGCCCGCACUGCUGAGGAAUCAAGGCAGCAGCCGACCAUUUGUCCCAUUGUGUAACAAAGCUUACACAUUCGGCAGUAACCGUUAGACCGUCAUGGUUGGUUUAAGUGAUUGUGUACCUCCAGAGGACAGAACCGUUGUCAGUUGCCUCUGAUGGGACACUUUUAAAACCUCCUCAGUACAAAGACUGCAUUUACGAAGUCAGCAUGUUGAAAGUAUGUGUGUGCGUGUUUCACAUAUGCAAGCACACAUUACUAAUCUACAAAACUUUAACAUACUGAUAUUAAGAUUCCACUUAAGAGUUGAAUUUGUGAUACAUGUUUGAUAAGUAUUAAUAGGAAGGCCUUGUCGCAGUCUCUUGUGGCCUUAGAACUUAACUCCUGCAUUCACAGAGGUGCAGAUAUCGAAGAUACUGACAAAUGUAGAUUGGAAAGUACUUAGUAAAACGGUAGAUCUGUAUGCAUGUAUGUGGGUAUGUGCGUGUGAAUGCAGGCACCCUAAAUGCAGGACCCUUGAGGACAAGGUUCUUUGAGACUAGAGGCAUUGGGGCUCUUGGAGUUGGAGUCACCCAGUCCAUGUGCUGGGAACCAAAUUCUGGGCCUUUUUGAGAGAAGAGCUUUUACCUGUUAAACACCUCUUCAGUAGCAGCACAAAGUUGGUAGGGGUUCCAGUUAAAUGCUAUGAGGGAUGUCCUCGCUUGGCAGCGGCUCUUCUCCCUGAAUGCAGUUCACAGUUCCUGCUAGGUUUGAAGAUCAUCGCUUACUGUUUUCCCCUGUAUCACUGAAAAACUUAGGUCGGCCUCCCGUUUGUGUAUUUGUGGAUGUGCACACAUGCCUGUGUCAAGGCCAGGUGUUAUUCCCAAGGCACCAUACACUGUUGUGUUUCAUUUUGAGGCAGGGAUUUUCACGGGCCCGGAAUUCCUCAAAUAGGCACUACUGGCUGGCCAGUGAGGCCCAGUGUUUCUGUCUGGUUUUGUCUUACUAGCUUGGAGAUUGCAAGCAUACACCACUGUACUGGUAACCAUGGGUUCGAGGAAUUGAACUCGGGUCAAGUUUGCAACAUAUGUGCUUUGCUGCCUGAUAUACUCAGUCCCGAUGUCGUAUGUCACUUACUGUGUCGGACAUCUUAUUAACUGAUUAACAGGCUGGGCUAAUGAAGAUAGUUCAUACGUUACCUUUCUGUACGAGCCUUCUUUGAAGGAUUUUAAUCACAGUUAUGGAAGGAGGAUUACUAGGCUAGGAUGACUAGUAAUAGAUAACCUACUCGACACAUGUUCCAGCUGAGUACAGAUUUGAACCACAUGUGUGUCUGGCUCGUCAAAGCACUGUGCUGCUGACUAGUGUUCAUAGGAAGCAGCAGGUAAGACUGCUGGGUUCCUGCAGCAAUCAUCAUGCAUGAGAUGAAAGCAGGCAUGGCUGGACAGAGUGUGUUUUUAUAUUAAGAAAAGGGCAGUGGUGGCGCACACCUUUAAUCCCAGCACUCGGGAGGCAGAGGCAGGCGGAUUUCUGAGUUUGAGGCCAGCCUGGUCUACAGAGUGAGUUCCAGAACAGCCAGGGCUACACAGAGAAACCCUGUCUCGAAAAACCCAAAAAAAAAAAAAAAAAAAAAAAAAAAAAGUCUUUGUUGACUCUACCCACAGCACCUAGCCACUGUCUGAUACAUCCUGUGUGCAUUUGAGUCUUUAAAUAGAAAUUGAAACUGUAUUUAACCGUGAAAGGAAACCUUAGUUGUACUAAAAGAAAAUGUGCACCUUUUGCCUUAGGAAGGUGAAUAUUUGCUUGUGCUAACUUUGUUGAAGUUGAUAACUUACUAUUCUGACAUACAAGUAGUUUUUGUCACAGGUAAGAUCUAAGAUGAUAGCUAUGUUAUUUUCUUGACCAUAGCAAUCCUUUAGCCAGUAACUGUGUUUAUCAAAAUAGCAUGUUGAGUACCUUGAAUAUCUACACUAUAAACUUCAGUUUCUUAUCUGUAAUAGCAAUGAUAAAAACAAAGGAUCUUCUACCUUAGCCUCCUCAGUAGCAGUCCUGGAGGGGUGCACCUCCACGAUGGCUAUAAAUACGGUAGUUAAGAGAACAGUUUUACAGCAGAGUUGACUGUGACAGACAGCGGCAGUUUGUAUGAGUUCACAAGUUUGUGCUUUGUUAGUGGUGGUAGGGUAGUUGACAGUUACAAAUAUGGAUUGCUGAUGAUCUUGCUGCCUCUCUGAUUUUCUUAACUCUGACAGUCACUGAAAUAGCAGUUCUUAGUGUCUGCAAGUAUUGAUUGUUUGGGAGAAAUACUUUUACAGUACAGUUUCAUCAUAUUUCAUUAUAGCCUUUCGUCCAUCAUUAUAUUUACUUCCUCCCUUACCUUGUCCCCCUGCCUCCUCCUCCUGGCUGAUUUCCCUUCCCCCAGAUAAUCUCUCCCUUCUGCUUUCUUAUAUAUAUAGUAACCCAUUCCUUUAAAAGGUCUUCCUCCCCUUUCAUGAUCUGCUUUCUAGCUUCAUGUACACACAUAUAAAUAAAUGCUAUAUGUAUGUAUGUGUGUGUGUGUGUAUAUAUAUGUAUGUAUGUAUGUAUAUAUAUAUAUAUGCAUAUAACUUCAAAUCUAGGAUCUGCAUUUAAGAGAAAAACAUACAGUAUUGUCUUGGUGUAGCUUAUUUCAUUUAACAUCAUGGUUUGUGUAUAUCUUUGUUUGUUUCUUUGUUUUGAGUCAGGGAUUCUCUGUGUAGCCCUGGCUGUCCUAGACUUGCUUUGUAGACCAGGCUCACCUCAAACUCACAGAGAUCCACCUGCCUCUGCCUCCCUAGUGCUGAGAUGAACGCCCUGCCUUAACAUACGGAUUUUUAUCUGCAGGGUUGGCUGUGAUGGUUCUUGGAAUGAUUACAAAAAUGGACUGCAUUCUGGGAGAAAUUAUUCUAGUACCAGUCAUCUUUGUAUCUUCAGUUAAUAAAUAGGAGAGUCCCUGAAAGAAAUUUUAGAUGCCAAAAUACAUGUUCUUAAUUGACUGUAAUUUUCCUGUAGAUUUCUUCAUUUACAUGCCCUCCCUCCCACCACCACCCCUUCUUUCUUUGCUGAUGGGGUUUGUCUCAGCAGCAGCCAUCUCCCCAUUGGCUCCAAACAGCCUUCAUCUGGACGCCACAGUGUACCAUGGCUGCUGCAUACUGUUAAGAGAGAGGCACCUUUGGAAGCAGCAUAGAAGACAGGCAAAUGGGCCCUGUGUGCUGCUCAGAAGGAGGCCCGUGCACGAUGUGGCCUUGGGAGGGUGAGCAGAUGCUUGUGCUAGCUUUGUUGAAGUUGGUAAAUUACCAUUCUGACAUACAAAUAAUUAUUGCCACAUUAAAGAUGAAGUUCUAGCUAUAGUUGAGACAUUUAGUGUCUUUUGAGAACAUAGAUCCAUUUUUACUUGCAUUCUAAAGUCUCAACUUUUUUUUGAAAUCAUGUACUGUUCUAUCCGAGUCCUUAAUCUCUCGGUAUUUUAAACGUUUGCUUCAUGAAGUGCGACCCGAAGCACUGGGCUGAAGGCUAUGAAUUUGGAAGUACAACUCCGUCUGUACUGCAGACAGUGGUGCCAGCUGAGAUGUGCAUGGAGCACGGGCAUUCACCCCCAGGAUUCCUCCCCAAAGUACUUGACGGACGCACGCAUGGCCACUUCUGCCCUGGCUGCACAGGGUGGGCGGGAUGCACGUAGGCUGCUGAGUUGCUUGUCUUUGGACAGAGACAAGGGUGGCAACAGAAGAAGGUAAUUUCUUCUGCUGGAUCUGUUUCCAUGCAACAUCAGCAACUGCCUCUUCCUACUUAUCCUAUGACCUUGACUGGGUGACAUGUGGCGAACAUGGCGUGCUGGCUCAGGACUCCCUGCUGCUCUGUCUGUUUACCAGCCAGUGGCUCAUUGAGCUCUUCACAGUAGGCUCUCGACUAUCUAGCUUUAUACUAUGAUAGAGUGUAAACUGUUCAUAGUUAAACGCUUUUACCUUUUACUAAUUGGAGAUCUAUACAGCCGUAUAGUACAGCUUUAAAGGAAGGGCAGGGAGUAACCCAGGGAAAGAAUCAUGAGGCCAACGGACUCUUCUUCAUGGGUAGGGGAGAUGAGAACCAGCCCAGGGAAAGAUGGCAGCCUCAUCAGAUACUCCUGGCGGCCUAGUGACUUAUAACAAGGGUGGCAUGUAAUUAGAAAUUGUCCCUGUCUUUUCUGAGUACUGAUGAAAACCAUGGCUCCGAGGUUAAUUCAAAUAGUAAUUAAUAUGGGUCUCUGUCAGUACGGGGUGGUAAUGAAAUCUUUCCUUAUUUGAUGACUUGGGCUUAAAUGUUGAGCAGCGAAUGGAAAGCCUGUUGCUCCUCAUCUUACUAAUUGUGGGGAGGCUCCAGCAACUGAACACAGAAUGCUAAGCACGGGACUGGGGAGAUGGACAAGAUUUCUUUGUGUCCUGCAGUUGCCAUCAAUAGAAGCUAUGGCAUGGCAUGGAGAUAAUACUAUUUUAUUUCUCUGUCACUGGUGUCUGUUAUAUAGAGCGUACAUCACUAAGUCCUCACGUCCUGGCUGGCUGACCAGAUCUUUGAAUGGUCUUCUUACCCCUCACUGGUACAGCACGGUUAGUGAACAGUUUCCUAGAUAGUAUUGAGGGUUACAGUACACAGACAGAUUGAGAGGGUGACUGGGCAGUGCCUAAUUGACUCAUAAGACCAACUCCAUGCGGGGUUGUUUACUAAAGUGAUUUGGGUUGAUGUUCAGGCAGGACAUCCUAAGAAGUAAUGUCAAAAGCUUCGCUGAGUAAAUUGUUUAAGGUUGCCAUCUAAUUUUGAAUUGUUUGUUGGCUCAGUGACGUUGGUGUGAUCUGAGGGUGAUGUUUGCUUUCGUUCAGAGCAUCAUUCAUUUUACAGGAAGCAGCCAUAGAGAACAGAACUGCAGCGUUUGAGGACUCAGGCGUUCCAGACACACGGACAGGAGAGGAGGACACCUUGCCAAGCAGGUGUAGAGAGGGGCCUCAUGCCUCUGCAGCUCCGUGCUCAGUGCUCAACUCCGCUUCCAUCUGCAUUGUUUGGGCUCCUUAGAAGCCAGUCCCAGACAGCCUAUUUUAUCUUAAAAUACGUCAGUAUAUAUUCCUAAGAAAAGAGAACGUUACUUCUCAAAUUAGUAUGUUUUAGGUGCCUGGUGGACAUUUUGUGGAGUUCCCUCCCUCACCCCACCCCACCCCCAGUGGAGAAGGGCGUACUGUUAGAGGGGGGGGGGGGGUCUGCACACUUGUGUUCUUCCCUGGCUUGGUGUGAGCAACAGGCUGCUACAGGACAGUCAGGAUCAGUGUGUUUACUUUGUUUUUGGAGCAGCCACAGAAUUCUAAGCUGAGAAUGGCAGGGUCAGACCUUUCUUUCUUCAUAGCAGCUGCAUUAUCUUGGAGGUGCUGGUGUCUAGCUCCUGGGAGGCGAGGGCUUUGGGGAAGGCAAUCAGAGUUGUGGAGGGGCUUGAUCAUGCUGCUGGCCUGUGAGUAAACCAGCCAGCUUCUAGAGGAACUCAGGGGAAGCACAUUGGUCUGCCAUCGAAGGAACCUUUCCUCCACACCAAUUCCUGCCACUUUCCUAGGAACAUCGGCUUCUCUGUGGCCGUCCCAUAGACAGGGAAUUUCAAUAUGCCUUCUUCCUUCCGCUGCCUCACUAGUUUAGCACCAACUACGAUAGAGUCCUGACGUUAUUUCAGACAGCUUGUUCCGGCUCUUAGGGAUGUCCCUGGAUGAAACUUGGCAAAUCACAACAGCCCAGUGUGGGGUGGGUCCAGGCAAGCCCAUAGGAUGGGCAUAGUGUUCCCCUGAGGUUUUCAGAGUAAAGUCAUGGCUGGGCUUGAGUGGGUGGGGACCGAAGACCGGAGAGAACUUAUCAGGAGGGCCCCGGAUGUGAAGCACAAGCGACUGUUCCCACUGGCUGCACCUCAGGCCCUGUACACUAGGUAGACUGCUGCUGCCAGUGCCAGGACCUCCUUGUAUACCAGAGUGACAUGGCCAACCUUGUCAACUCAGAGUUCCCUGAAAGGAAGGCCAUUGGAUAACAUGAUCAGGUGGGCAGGGUGGUGGUGGUUUGGGGACAGGAAACCUUUGCAUUGUCCCAUCUUAGGACUCCCAGGAAGGUGCAUAAUGGUCAGAGCCAUCCAGGCCCACACCGCCUAGCAUCCCUAAAGGAAGCCUGCACAGUUCUUUCUGUGUUCUUUCUCCUAUGUCUUUGUCUCAGGUGCCCUUCGAGCCCAUUCUGCGCCUGGAGUCCGCCCAUCCUCCUCUCCUCCUGGGCUGUCUCCUCUUAUCACUUUCCCAGGCUGGAAGCCCUGGUUAGGCUCACAGGCCACUCAGACUCAGUGGGGCGUCAGUUGUCAUAGCCCUCAGGGCACUUGUUACCACAUGCUGUUAUGCCUGCUUGUGGGGGAGGGGUCAGGAAAGAUGGAGAUGGAGGCUGGGGGCUGUGGUGGGAUCUGUGCUCAGCUGUUUGCUCCAUAGAGAGCAGGGGUGGAAGCAGGAGGUGAUGGAAAGCCUGUGACAGAGCAGGGAGGGACCAUUCUGCUGGCCACCAGUCAAGACAGGGAUUCAGAUUUCUAAAGUUGGGCAAGCUAACACCACCAGCAGCCAUGGUGACAGGAUUUACUUCCCAAGAGAGGUCAGUGUGUGGCUGUCUUUUGGAGUACACUUUUGACUAAUAGGGAUGGGUGAGCCAUUGCUGUCCUCCCAGCUGUACGUACGCGUGGAGUCAGGCACCAGCACUGUCAGUGAAGGUUCCAACAUGCAGAGGUCCCUGGGAUGCCUGGCUUCCUCUUAGUCAAGGAACUGCUUCUCUGGCUGGGCAGCCGCCCAGUCCAGAUUAGGAAGCCUGGUGGUACAAACAAGCCUUGCUGAAGUCUCCCUAGUCCUCAUUUCUCUUUUGUGCAUGGUUACACUGUGUUUUAAAAUACGAGCAAAACAAAGACGCCCCAUGCACUUGGUAUUAGGGACAGGAUCCAAAACUUGGUGCAAAUGAGGCAGGCAUGCACUAUCACAGAGCCACACCCCCGAGUAGGCUUUCCCAUUGCCCCUAGCACCCAGUACAUACAGUAAGCCUGCUGGCUUUUAUCUUACUGUGGACCGUAUGGCCCUUUUCUUGCUCCCUACACUGGCCUCUGCGUUCCAUCUCUUUGCAGUCUAGUGGUCGUCUAUGAAAAUGAGGCAGAGCCGGUCCUUCUCCUGAAACUGUGUCUAAGGCCUGGUCUCCCUCAUGUGAGACCUCUCUGCAUCAUGGAGACACCUUCUGCCCUAGUCUCCCCUCCAUACCUCCCUCAAGAUGAACUCUUAGUCCUUACUGUCCUGGAGGUUCCUGCCCUUUCUCUAUCUUCUAGAACAUUGACUUCUUCUGGCCAUCUCAUCAUUCUCACGGCCUUCCACUAUACCUCAGCAUAUCUUCCCAGCCAGGUGCCUCCCCAACACCCAGUUUAAGGCCAGAGCCCCUGUGUUAAAGCCCCGUCCACCUGUGACUUCUUUAUAGUUGUUUGUUUACUUUUUACUAGGGUGUAAUCAAAGUACAUAAAGAGGGAUUUGCCUGCAGUGUUUACUGCUGGGUGCCCAGUUCUCCAGCAGUAUGUCGGGUUGGUUGGCUGGUCCUUAGUAAACUUUACCCAGAGGGAAAAGCCUUUGGAGCUCUUUCCUAUGGGUCUUACCUUUUUGAUGUUGCUGAUGAUGAAACUUUGCAAGUGAGACCGCAAAUGCUGCUCUGCUACACAGAAUUCAAGGACUAAUAGUCCUAAUGGUCAAAUCAGGUACACCCCCCUCCCCCCAACCCGCUGAAUGUGCUUAGCUUUACCUUGAGCCUUUCUUUGGCUAAGUGAUGCUGAGCAAGGCUAGGUUUUCCCAAAGUACAUAGCCCCAGAUGGAGUAAUGCCACUUCCCCUUGUUUCCCCGGGUCAGUGUGAUGGAUUGGCGAACGUGAUUCAUUCUGUCUUAGGGGGAAAUACAUAUAUAACCUUAGUGCAUUGUCAAGCCAGGAUUAUGGCGGUGGGUAUGGAAAUUUAGUGUGCAGCCCUAGCGUGUCAUGGACUUGAGUAUAAUACACAUACUUCCAUUUGUUACUAGACUCGGCAAGACCUUUGUGUUGAACUUUUCUGAGAACCCAGUUAUUAUUUUAGAGUAUUUCCAGCAUUGUGCACUUUGCCUAUAUAAAGACAGAUCUAACUAAUACAGACUUGAUACAGAGGCGGCCUUGGCAGUGGCACUGUAUGAACCCCAUCUUCUCUGUUGCUUUCCACUUAGUCUUAAAGUGGCAGGGUUUGGGGGAAGGGGAGGGUAGGAUGCAUUGAGAAGUGUGAAAUUAGGAGCCCUGAAAGUUGAUGAAGUUAAUCUGUACUGGGGACUAGAAAGCAUACUGCAGUUUGGUUCGUGUUAACACUGAUCGCUUAUGGUAAAUAACAUGUCACCUAGGGAACUCUGGCAAUGACAGGCUUGCUUUUUUGAUUGGAACAAGUCAAUCAUUUCAGAUGACCCGGUUGAAAAUACUUUGGAGACCCUUUCAUUCAAACUUCAGCAGCUGUGCAGAAGGCUAGGUAGGUGGUCCGGUCUCCUCUUUAGCUGGAGUGUGUUUGCAGAAUCAGAGAUGUUUGGUUUUUUUUCUCCCUUCAAAUUCCCUUGGAAGUCAAGUACAUGUCAGCUUUGAAUGACACAUCUUCCUGUUAUUAGUGUUGAUUAACCAAGCUAGGGGUUAGUUUGUCUGGCAAUUAAUGGAGUGGCUGUUAGCCACCACUGUGGAGGACCUUGGCUGGAGAGAUGCAGGGACCUGUGGUUUCUGCUCUGGACAUGCUCACCUCUGGGGCCCCUCCUUAUAACAUGCAUAGGAUAGGUGCAUGUGAUGCGCCGAGAGUCACAUGAAGGCCAACCAAGCGCCCACAAAUCUUCUCCCCUGUGGGUAUUCACCUGUUAGGAACCAAGGCUUCAGCCUGGGCAGGGUCGCCAACUAGCAGAACUUGGAUCGAAGCCACGUCUGUUUGAAACGGAAAAAGAAUUGUCAUCCAUUAUUUCUGUUGACAUCUGGAUGACUGUAAAGAAGCUUAUCCUCAAAUGUUCCCGACCAUAAAGCCUGUCGGAAGUAGCAGAGGGAACUCCAGCCCUGUCAGCUUAGGCACACCAUUCUUAUGUCUAUCUAGCCAACUUUUCCCACUAGACUCUUGUGUCUGAUCUUUUCAUAUUGAUGCAGAGAGCCCAGUUUUUCUUUCAAGUAGUCAAGUUGUCCCCUGCUCCACGUGACUUCCUGUACCUGACCAUGUCAGUGGCCAUUUAAACCAACUCAGUGUUCACUCUUGAAAAUGCUGUGCUGUUAUGCAGAAGAAGCCUUUUACGUAUGCUGGUGUCUCUCUUCAUCCUGAGCGUGCUCCUGGGAAAGGGCUCAGGAGCACACACUCCUGCAAAUGCUGUAGGACCUGUCCUUUUUCUGCACCCGCCAACUCUGAACACUAGAGCUCUUUGCCAGUUCUUUAGGGAAAAUCGUUCCAAGCAGUUCUUGCCUGUUGUGCUUCCUCAGACCCAUGCUCUCUCCAUCACACCAGCCAGCUUCUGUGAUCACUGUCUGACUGAAGGGCAGACAUUGCAGCGGGGAAGAGAGUGGUUUAAGGCUCUGCCUCCAAAAGCACUCUUGGAGGGGUGGGGCUUAUCGCCUGUGCUCAUCAGCAGAGCUCUCAGACUCCACUCCUGUAACGGGGGUGGGUGAUGAGGACUAAAGGGACUUGUGCUUUGUGAUAAGGCCUCUGCUUGAUACCUGUCUAGUUACCACAUGGCAGCCACACCCUGGAAGUUGUUCUCCCAUUUUGCCUGUGGGGAUCCUGCACCUGUCUAGCUGCUUUGGAUUCUCCUCGGCCCUGGAAUUCCCUUGGCAGUUGCCCCUCUGCAAAGAGGCUCCUGUUCUUUUUGCCGCUCUGUGCCACAGGCUCUGUAGGUGAGGUCCUGGACCAGCAGCAUCCGCCAUGGCAGAUGACUGGGCAUAGACUCUUGUUCAGCAUCACACACUCAGUUGUACAUCCCUCCUAAUUCAUAGGCUAACCCUUGUCUUAGCACUCCCUUACCCCCACCCCAGUGUGGAGACGGGCUCUUAGGAAUGAACUAAAAGUAAACUGUGAACAAGAGUGGGAUCCUGAUCCAGGAUGAUUGUAUGGUUUCCUUUAAGAUAAGAAAGAUGGGGCUGGAGAGAUGGCUCAGCGGUUAAGAGCGCCAGCUGUUCUUCCAAAGGUCCUGAGUUCAAAUCCUCAUGGUGGCUCACAACCAUCCAUAAUGAGAUCUGACACCCUCUUCUGGUGUGUCUAAAGAUAGCUACAGUGUACUUACAUAAAAUAAUAAAUGCAUUUUUGGGGCCAGAGCAAGUGCCCCGCUUUUAAAUCGAAAGAAAGAAAGAAAGAAAGAAAGAAAGAAAGAAAGAAAGAAAGAAAGAAAGAAAGAAAGAAAGACAGACAGACAGAAAGACAGUUUUCUUUCUCCUAGCUUAGAAGAGGUCACAUGAGCACUCAGUGAGAUGGCUGCCUCAGGAUGAAACUGACCGCCUCAGCACCUUGACCUUAGCCAGCCUGCCUCCAAGAACUCGAGAGGCAGUUUCUGUUCCAGUCGCUGUGUGCAGCUGAGUGCAGAGCUCUGGCAUGGAUUCAUUGGAGACACUACCAGGGCGGAUGGGUGCCUGCCUCAGGCAUUAUUGUUUCUAGGCCAGUGGUUUAAACAUCAAACUGCUUCUGCAGACACGGGUUGUGUUUCAGAUGUAGGCAGCAUGGGUGGGCGUGUGGAGUCCCGACUCUUUAACAGUUCCCACUGCUGCUGAUGCUUCAGCUGCCACAUGACAGCGGGAGAGCGCUGGGCCGGGUAGUAUGUUGAAGAGGUUCAGGCAAGAGCUUAGAAUACAGGUAGGGAUUUUUUACCACCCAGCCGCAGAAGUGGUUCAUACCCCAGGAGCCACUGUCUGUGAGGCAGGGAUAAUAUUUACUCAGUUUAUCUCAUAGGAUUGAUAAAAGUAGAUGCAUGAAGAGAUCCAUUUGAACCUCCUUUGCUUUUCAUGCAAAGCAGCCUGGUGGAGCAGGGAGUAUCCAUCGUUCUCCGCCAAAAAGAAAGAACAUAGGAGAAUACUGACGUAUCCUAGUGUAAACCACAGCCUAAAGGGGUCUCCUAUCGUUCUUCACUGUACUGCUUCACAGGGUGCCAGAACUCGGGCUCCUCCCUCUCCACACCCAGGACUCCCCCGUCUCUCUCCCUACACACCACUCCACCUUCUCUUGAACGUCUGCCUGUUGGCCUGGCAGCCUAGAUCACAGUCUGUGGCUCCAUAUUUGGAUCCUUCUCUGUCAGGAAUGUCUGGAUGUCUUCGAGACUGUGGGGUUGAAGCUAAGAAACCUGCUGUGUUUCUUCUCAAGUGUGCUCCUGCUCCUGCCCCUGUGCAGGUCUCCUCAAGUGUGCUCCUGCCUCUGUGCAGGUCUCCUCAAGUGUGCUCCUGCCCCUGUGCAGGUCUCCUCAAGUGUGCUCCUGUGCAGGUCUCCUCAAGUGUGCUCCUGCCCCUGUGCAGGUCUUCUCAAGUGUGCUCCUGCCCCUGUGCAGGUCUCCUCAAGUGUGCUCCUGCCUCUGUGCAGGUCUCCUCAAGUGUGCUCCUGCCCCUGUGCAGGUCUCCUCAAGUGUGCUCCUGCCCCUGUGCAGGUCUCCUCAAGUGUGCUCCUGUGCAGGUCUCCUCAAGCGUGCUCCUGCUCCUGUGCAGGUCUCCUCAAGUGUGCUCCUGCUCCUGUGCAGGUCUCCUCAAGUGUGCUCCUGUGCAGGUCUCCUCAAGUGUGCUCCUGUGCAGGUCUCCUCAGGUGUGCUCCUGCCCCUGUGCAGGUCUCCUCAAGUGUGCUCCUGCUCCUGUGCAGGUCUUCUCAAGUGUGCUCCUGCUCCUGUGCAGGUCUUCUCAAGUGUGCUCCUGUGCAGCUCUUCUCAAGUGUGCUCCUGCUCCUGUGCAGCUCUUCUCAAGUGUGCUCCUGUGCAGGUCUUCUCAAAAAGAUUUAGUUGUUUUGUUUUGUCACCUAAAGUGUGUUCUAAGUAUGCUUUAUAUAUGUGUGCAUAUGUAUUCACACACAUACACACACAUACACACAUCAGCGCCUGCAUGUAUACACUUAGACAAGUAGAGUUUGAGGAAUGCUGUGUUCUCAGUGAUGUUUUCAGUCAGUAACGAUUCUAGUCAUUAAGUACCUUGGGUCUUCAGUGAGUGUCUCAAGGCCAUUGUAUACUCUUAAAUCCCACAGAGUUUCUGUGACUCGUAUCUAUUGAUACUUAUUAUUUUAGACAUUAAACCUUGCAAUUUUACAAAUUACCGAAAUAAUUUUAAAACAUUUAAUUCCACUCAAUGUUAAUUUAAAUAACUUAGAAGAAGAAGUUAUUUUCUAAAUUGUAUGAAUCAUAUCAAAUUGUAAGUUUCGAGAUAAAUGCAUUUUAUAAAAUGUCGAACGAAGACAAAUGUGAUUGCUUCCUGUGUUGUGUUCUCAGUGAACAGAUCUUAGAGAUACAUCUGCAUUUGGCAUAUUGUAAUUUGCUCUUUUGGUUGAAGAACAUGAACCAAAUAUGGUCUUAUAAAGAAGG
rnacentral:lncRNA from 1 species